rnacentral:rRNA from 1 species
GUGAGGAAUAUUGGGCAAUGGACGAAAGUCUGACCCAGCAACGCCGCGUGGAGGAUGAAGGUCGUAAGAUUGUAAACUCCUGUGAGGAGGGACGAAAGAUUAAGUUUCGUAAGGGACUUAAGUUGACUGUACCUUCAGAGGAAGCCCCGGCUAACUACGUGCCAGCAGCCGCGGUAAUACGUAGGGGGCAAGCGUUGUCCGGAUUCACUGGGUGUAAAGGGCGCGUAGGCGGGUUGGUAAGUUAGAGGUGAAAUCCUACGGCUCAACCGUAGAACUGCCUCUAAUACUGCUAACCUUGAGUGCAGAAGAGAGAAGCGGAAUUCCAGGUGUAGUGGUGAAAUACGUAGAUAUCUGGAAGAACACCAGUAGCGAAGGCGGCUUCUUGGUCUGUUACUGACGCUCAGGCGCGAAAGCGUGGGGAUCAAACAGGAUUAGAAACCCCGGUAGUCC